UACGGAGGGUGCAAGCGUUAAUCGGAAUUACUGGGCGUAAAGCGUGCGCAGGCGGCUUGCCAAGUCAGAUGUGAAAGCCCCGGGCUCAACCCGGGAAUGGCGUUUGAAACUGGCAGGCUAGAGUUUGGCAGAGGGGGGUGGAAUUCCACGUGUAGCAGUGAAAUGCGUAGAGAUGUGGAGGAACACCGAUGGCGAAGGCAGCCCCCUGGGCCAAAACUGACGCUCAGGCACGAAAGCGUGGGGAGCAAACAGG
rnacentral:rRNA from 1 species